GAUGAAGAACGCAGCGAAAUGCGAUAAGUAAUGUGAAUCGCAGAAUUCAGUGAAUCAUCGAAUCUUUGAACGCACAUUGCGCCCCUUGGUAUUCCGAGGGGCAUGCCUGUUCGAGCGUCAUUAUAACCCCUCAAGCUCAGCUUGGUGUUGGGGCCUGCUGCACUGGCAGCCCUUAAAAUCAGUGGCGGCGCCAUCUGGCUCUAAGCGUAGUAAUUCUUCUCGCUAUGGAGUCCUGGUGGAUGCUUGCCAUCAACCCCCAAUUUUUCUAUGGUUGACCUCGGAUCAGGUAGGGAUACCCGCUGAACUUAAGCAUAUCAAUAAGCGGAGG
rnacentral:misc_RNA from 1 species